UGUUACCCCGGAAGUCCUAGCGUCAUUUAAACCUGAGAAUUGCGGCAAAUUUUCCUUUAUAAAACAAUGAGAGCACAUGCUGGAGAUCACUAUAUUUCGGGGGACUGGCCCGGAGCCUGAGACUCUUCUGCUUGAGGCUGCUGCAUGUCGUGGUUCACAGCGACUACAGCAGCACAGAGCAUCAGCAGCAGGACACUGAGCACUGAGCAUCGCACUUUGAAGAAGGUGGAGUAAAUCCCAAAGGGCUCCAUGUACACUAACACAGUUCUCUCUGUUGACAAACACUGAUAAACAUAUUGUUCAUAAACUACACACCAGUACUCCCCUGCGUCUCCCACUGAGAUAUUAGAGAUAACCAGGCUCCCAUUAUCACGGAACCAGCUCACUCUGCUCAUUCUC